GCCAGUUCUGGCUGGGUCACCUUAGAGAGAGGCUGCCUUCCCUUCUGCUGCUGGGGCUCAUCUGUGUGAAGUCUGGGGCUGACUCUCACCACAGGAAAGACUGCCAGGGCAAAUGAGCACCUGUUAUUGCUCUUCAGCCCCACUCCACCCCUGGGCCCCCUUAGGGGGACCUUUCCUACACUCCCCACCCCCAAUCCUGACAGCUGGAGAUAGGAUCAAUCCUGAAUUGUCUCCGAAAAAAGCCAGUUUCUGCCAGACCCGCCUUGCUCCCAGUGCCACACACCCAGCCCUGAAGUGCUGUCCGCGAUAGGAGAGCAUCCCGGGACGUUGGCUGCCUACCUCGCCAUUGGCCUUGGAGGACCUGCGUGCCCCACUAAGUGCUGGCAGAGAAUGUUGGCCGACUUGGGCCUCAGCGUGUCUCUGUCCAGAAGCCCUUGGUCCACAAAGCAGAUCUGGAUCAAGGGCUCACUCCACCAGUUACCGAGAAAGUUCUUACAACCAGAAUUGGAAGGCUCACCAGUGACCCUUAUCUGGAGGCUUGGAGAUAGAAGUUUCUGAUCUGGAUCUUGGUAUGGAGAUCUUCAGGCAUAGUGGCUAUGGAUUCCAGAAGAUUAAAUCUCCGAGUUCAAGGUCAUCCAGGAUUAAGGGUGUGGUGGAACACACCUUCAAUCUGGCUACACCUUCUGCUGGAGACAAUAUAAGGACAUUGGAAGACAGGAGUCUUGCUCUUGCUCCUUCGCCUGCUUGCUGUGUGAGACUGAGUGAGUAACUGCUAGAUCCUUGGACUUCCAUUCACAGCUACUACUGAACCAUUGUUGGGAAUUGGGCUGCAGACUGUAAGUCAUCAAUAAAUUCCUUUACUAUAUAGAGACUAUCCAUAAGUUCUGUGACUCUAGAGAAUCCUGACUAAUACAGAGGGGAAAGGGUUUAUUUCGUCUUAUGCUUUCAGGCCGUAAUUCAUCAUGGACGGAAGUCAGAGCAGGAACCUAGUGGUAGGAACUGAAGCAGAGACCAUAGAUGACUGUUGCUUGCCGACAUGUUCCUUGCUUUUACUCAGCUGACUUGCACAACACAGGACCACCUGCCCAGCGUACUACCACCUACAGUGGGGUAGGCUCUCCUCUAUCAAUUUAGCAGUCAAGAAACGCCCUACAGAGAUACCCACAGGAAAAUCUGAUGGCAUUGCUUCCUCAAUGGAUGUUCCGUCUUCCCAGGUGUGCCAAGGGGACAACCAAUUAGUCAUGAUAAAGGGCCUCUCUGCUAAAAACAACAAAUAAACAACAGUCUAAGAAUGUAUUUUUUCAUAUUCAGCCACCAAAACAUACAGAACCCACUACAGCUUUGGUCCAGGGGGAUAAAGCUACAUCCUGAGCUGAAAGCAGAACUUGGCAAUGUUGUUCGCCUGGUACUAGAUGUUCAGGCAUGGGACAAAGAAUGAAGGGCAUCAUGGAGGUUUACCCUAAGAUUCCAGAAGAUCCUCCCCGACCCCUGGGCUCAGGCAAUGCAUGGCAGUUCUGCAAGGAGGUCCUAAGUAUCCUCAGCAUUAAGCUGGAAACGUGAAGUCUAAAUUACAAUGGAGAGCGUAGGAUACUGGAGGUGCCCGGACAUGGGGCAUCCACCAAGGAAAGUUGCAGGCAUGAGAUGAACGAAGCCAACCCAGAAGAGAGGCUAUGUGUGUUGCAGGUAGCAGAGCUAAAGAGGCAGCCUACCUAAAUUAUUUGAAGCCCAGAUGACUUCAUCACAAGCCCCAAAUACUAGACAUAGAAUUUCGGGCUUUGGUAUCUGCCCUGAUGGAUUUUGGUUUUGCUUUGAUCUGAUCUUUCUUUGCCAUCCUUGAUUCCUUCCAUUUGGAAUGGAAAUUUUACUCUAUGCCAUUGUAUGUUGGAAAUAUGUGACUUGUACCAUUAUUGUUGUUGUUGAUGAUGUUGUUGUUGUUGUACAGAGGCUCACAGUUAAGGGACAACCUCAACUCUCAGAAAAGAUGUUGGGACUGUUAAAGACUAUGAGGACUUUUGAAGUUGGAAUAACUACGUUUUACAUCGUGAGAUGGUCGUGAGCUUUGGGGAACCAGAAGUAGAAUGCUGUGGUUUAAAUGUGAAACGUCCCUCACUGGUGCAUGUGCCUGAACACUCGGUCCUCAGCUGAUGGCAUUAUUUUGGAAGGCUAUAGGGCCUUCUGGAGGUAAAGCCCCACUACAGGAAGUGGAUCACUCAGGGUGGGCCUUGAGGUUUGAUAGCCUGACCUCAUUUCCUGUCCACUCUCCGCUUCCUGAUACUGUGGCUACAAGAUGACCAGCCACUCAUGUUCCUACCACCACCUUCCAUAAUGCACUAUAUCUCUUCUUAAACUAUAAGCCAACACAAACCCUUCCUGCCUAAAGUUGCUUCUUGCCAGGUAUUUGGUAGCAGUAAGAAACGUAAUAAUGGUGCGUCAUUGUACCUGAACUAGUAUCCUUUUUUUUUUUAAACUCCCAGCAACCAGCUUGCCAAUCUAUUAUUGAAGAGGGUGGAGGAGAUGACUUGGUGGACUAAGCACUUGCUAGGCAAGCAUGAGGACCUCAGUUCGAGUCCCCAGAACCCGUGUAAAGCCGGGUGCAACCGUAUGUAAUGGCGCACUCUUGCACCGAGACGGGGAGUGGAGACGGGGCAUCCCCAGAUGCAAGUCCGUCAACCCACUGUAUAAGUGACGGACAGUAAGGGGCACUGUCUCAAACAAGGUGGAAGAUGAGGACAGACAUCCAAGGUUAGACUGAGAUUUCCACACACACCACAACAUGGACGUGCCCCAAUCAUACAACAUAUAUUUACAUAUACUAAAAUACAACCUGCAGAGAGCCCCCUCAACAUGUGGAGUGGUCCAACACAGCGGCUCUUAGUGCCUGGUUUCUUUAGGUGAGACGACAUGGGAGCCAUGUUAACCGGUCCCACAAAACGAUUGCAAGCCAGGGAUCCAGAAUGCAAGAAGCUGGGGUCUGGAGAGAUGGUUCAACAGCUAAGAGCACUGGCUGCUCUUCCAAAGGCCCUGGGUUCAAUUCCCAGCACACACAUGGCUUUUCACAACUGUCUGUAACUUCAGUUUCUGAGAAUCUGACACCCUUUCACAAACACACAUGUAGGCAAAAACACCAAUGCACAUCAAAUAAAAAUAGAUUAUAUAA
rnacentral:lncRNA from 1 species